rnacentral:rRNA from 1 species
CAGCAGCCGCGGUAAUACGAAGGGGGCUAGCGUUGCUCGGAAUGACUGGGCGUAAAGGGCGCGUAGGCGGCGAUCAAAGUCAGGCGUGAAAUUCCUGGGCUCAACCUGGGGGCUGCGCUUGAUACUUGGUUGCUUGAGUGGGGAAGAGGGUCGUGGAAUUCCCAGUGUAGAGGUGAAAUUCGUAGAUAUUGGGAAGAACACCGGUGGCGAAGGCGGCGACCUGGUCCUUUACUGACGCUGAGGCGCGAAAGCGUGGGGAGCAAACAGGAUUAGAGAUCCCGGUAGUCCCUGUCUCUUAUAC